ACGACCGCAUCACGUUGAAACAUCGAUUCCCGUACAAUCACCGAAGUUAAGCAACGUCGAGUCUGGUCAGUACCUAGAUGGGUGACUGCUUGGGAAUGCUAGGUGCCGCAAG
rnacentral:rRNA from 1 species